rnacentral:tRNA from 1 species
UCAGUAGCUGAGUGGAUAACGUGAUGGCGUUUGAACCAAAAGGUACUGGGUUCGAGUCCCAGACUGA